CUCGCAUCGAUGAAGAACGCAGCGAAAUGCGAUACGUAAUGUGAAUUGCAGAAUUCCGUGAAUCAUCGAAUCUUUGAACGCACCUUGCGCCUCUUGGUAUUCCGAGGGGCAUGCCUGUUUGAGUGUCAUUGAAACCCUCAAGAAGAAAGUCUUUCGGGGCCUUCUUUUUGGAACUGGAGUGUGCUGGCCUUUUCGUGGAAGAGCCCAGCUCCUCUGAAAUGCAUUGGCGAUGUGACAUCCUCAUGCCAUCACGCUUCUCUAGCAUUGAUAGUCUCUUUCAUGCUUUAGUGUGUUGUGCUUAGGUGGAAAGU
rnacentral:rRNA from 1 species